AGUCCUUCCUUUUCAAUGCAGCACAGUUCACACAAGAGUAGUCGCUUGGUACAUCUACUUUCUUCCUCUCUUUCUUCUUGUUGUUCAUUUUUUGCCACUGACCCUUCUCUUGCCCUUGACCUUGCGUAAGCGGUAAUGUGUGGUUCAUUUGUGCUUCAUGGUGAUUUUCAUCCUGAGUUUGCAGUACCAGCCCAGUUGCUUAUGUGCUCCCUGUACAUAUCUUUUAGGAUCUCGUGCUGCUCUCCAUGCUUGAAUGUCAAAGAUGAUGAUAUACCCCUGAUGCUUUAUUGAAAUAAUAUAUAUUAGUUUUAUUCUAUCAGGUGUAAUGAUCCCCAUCUGAGGGCAUUUUAUCAUGUACAUGGUCCUCUUGCUCCCCCCCCCCCAAAUCUGUUUAUAUGUCUGAAGCUGAAUCCUCAUGAUGCUUAAUCUACCUAUUAUUCUGAUUGUUGGAA